AUUGAACGCUGGCGGCAUGCUUUACACAUGCAAGUCGAACGGCAGCGCGGGCUUCGGCCUGGCGGCGAGUGGCGAACGGGUGAGUAAUGCAUCGGAACGUGCCCAGUAGUGGGGGAUAGCCCGGCGAAAGCCGGAUUAAUACCGCAUACGACCUGAGGGUGAAAGCGGGGGACCGAAAGGCCUCGCGCUAUUGGAGCGGCCGAUGUCGGAUUAGCUAGUUGGUGGGGUAAAGGCUUACCAAGGCGACGAUCCGUAGCUGGUCUGAGAGGACGACCAGCCACACUGGGACUGAGACACGGCCCAGACUCCUACGGGAGGCAGCAGUGGGGAAUUUUGGACAAUGGGGGCAACCCUGAUCUAGCCAUGCCGCGUGCGGGAAGAAGGCCUUCGGGUUGUAAACCGCUUUUGUUCGGGAAGAAAUCCUCUGGGCUAAUACCCCGGGGGGAUGACGGUACCGGAAGAAUAAGCACCGGCUAACUACGUG
rnacentral:rRNA from 1 species